rnacentral:rRNA from 1 species
ACAGAGGGUGCGAGCGUUGUCCGGAAUCACUGGGCGUAAAGGGCGCGUAGGCGGCCUGAUAAGUCGGGGGUGAAAUCCUGUGGCUCAACCGCAGGGCUGCCUCCGAGACUGUCGGGCUCGAGCACAGUAGGGGCAGGCGGAAUUCCGGGUGUAGCGGUGGAAUGCGUAGAGAUCCGGAGGAAGACCGGUGGCGAAGGCGGCCUGCUGGGCAGUUACUGACACUGAGGCGCGACAGCGUGGGGAGCAAACAGGA